rnacentral:miRNA from 1 species
UGGCAGAGGGCCCACUCUUGGC